AUUGAACGCUGGCGGCAGGCUUAACACAUGCAAGUCGAGCGGAGAUGAGGUGCUUGCACCUUAUCUUAGCGGCAGACGGGUGAGUAAUGCUUAGGAAUCUGCCUAUUAGUGGGGGACAACAUUCCGAAAGGGAUGCUAAUACCGCAUACGUCCUACGGGAGAAAGCAGGGGAUCUUCGGACCUUGCGCUAAUAGAUGAGCCUAAGUCGGAUUAGCUAGUUGGUGGGGUAAAGGCCUACCAAGGCGACGAUCUGUAGCGGGUCUGAGAGGAUGAUCCGCCACACUGGGACUGAGACACGGCCCAGACUCCUACGGGAGGCAGCAGUGGGGAAUAUUGGACAAUGGGGGGAACCCUGAUCCAGCCAUGCCGCGUGUGUGAAGAAGGCCUUAUGGUUGUAAAGCACUUUAAGCGAGGAGGAGGCUACUGAGACUAAUACUCUUGGAUAGUGGACGUUACUCGCAGAAUAAGCACCGGCUAACUCUGUGCCGGCAGCCGCGGUAAUACAGAGGGUGCGAGCGUUAAUCGGAUUUACUGGGCGUAAAGCGUGCGUAGGCGGCUUUUUAAGUCGGAUGUGAAAUCCCCGAGCCUAACUUGGGAAUUGCAUUCGAUACUGGGAAGCUAGAGUAUGGGAGAGGAUGGUAGAAUUCCAGGUGUAGCGGUGAAAUGCGUAGAGAUCUGGAGGAAUACCGAUGGCGAAGGCAGCCAUCUGGCCUAAUACUGACGCUGAGGUACGAAAGCAUGGGGAGCAAACAGGAUUAGAUACCCUGGUAGUCCAUGCCGUAAACGAUGUCUACUAGCCGUUGGGGCCUUUGAGGCUUUAGUGGCGCAGCUAACGCGAUAAGUAGACCGCCUGGGGAGUACGGUCGCAAGACUA
rnacentral:rRNA from 1 species